UGACGCAUGCUGCGUUUUAUGCGGUCUAACCCACCGCGUACCGGUUAGAAUCCGGAUGGGACUUCUUUUCAAGGAGAAAACAAAUG
rnacentral:ncRNA from 1 species